rnacentral:tRNA from 2 species
CGGGGGGUGGCUCAGCCCGGCUAGAGCACUUGCUUGGGGUGCAAGGGGUCGCCAGUUCAAAUCUGGUCCCCCCGACCA